rnacentral:sRNA from 1 species
UUUUUUUCCUUCUUCU